rnacentral:misc_RNA from 1 species
CAACUGCGAUAAAUAGUGCGAACUGCAGAUAUUUUGAGCACUAAAGUUUCGAAUGCACAUUGCGCCAUUGGAUUUUAUCCUUUGGCACGUCUGGUUCAGGGUCGUAAAUACAAAACCCCAAGCAAUUGGUGGGAAAUGUAAAUGCGGAUCAUUGCUGCUAAUAUACCACGAGAUGGUAUUGCGACAAUGUUCCCAUAUAACGGCCAACCAUUGCUCACGUUCGGUAGCGUAAGUCUGAAGUCCUAACGACUUUUUGGAUGAAUGACUUUAUGCGUUGCUGAGUGAAUGCUGACCGUAGCAGCCAACAUGCCUCUCGUUGGUCUGUCGCCGGUUAGCAGUGUGAGCAGUCGAUCUUUCGACCUGAACUCAGACGUGACUACCCGCUGAACUUAA